rnacentral:rRNA from 1 species
AGAGUUUGAUCAUGGCUCAGAACGAACGCUGGCGGCGUGCUUAACACAUGCAAGUCGAACGGAAUUAGGGGCUUGCUCCUAAUUUAGUGGCGCACGGGUGAGUAACGCGUGGAUAACCUACCCUGGUAUCUGGGAUAACAUCUCGAAAGGGGUGCUAAUACCGAAUAAGCCCACGGGAACUUUGGUUCUUGCGGGAAAAGGUGGCCUCUAUUUAUAAGCUACUGUAUCAGGAUGGGUCCGCGUACCAUUAGCUAGUUGAUAGUGUAAUGGACUACCAAGGCUACGAUGGUUAGCUGGUCUGAGAGGAUGAUCAGCCACACUGGAACUGAGACACGGUCCAGACUCCUACGGGAGGCAGCAGUGGGGAAUUUUGCGCAAUGGGGGAAACCCUGACGCAGCAACGCCGCGUGAGUGAUGAAGGCCUUCGGGUCGUAAAGCUCUGUCAGAGGGGAAGAAGUGUAUGGGUGCUAAUACCAUCUAUACUUGACGGUACCCUCAAAGAAAGCACCGGCUAACUCCGUGCCAGCAGCCGCGGUAAUAC